AUGCUCAACCUUAUUCUCCACCGCCCACCUUUUGACCUGAAACCUCAAACUCCCCCAAAUAAAUUCUUACCCGCCCACCUAACCCCCCCUCGGUCCUGUUCGGUCCUGUCCCGUAAACCUAACCUCACCUUCUCCCCCUGAACUCACCUCUUCCCCUCCCUCCGACCCACCAAACUCUCCCCCCCUCCCCCUCCUGCCCCGCCAGCUGUAACCCCGAGCUUACCUUUAAACGCGGUUAGCCCCGCCCCUCUCGACCCCUGAACACACCUCAGCUCGCCCAGUGUGGCCCCCUCUCCCGUUUGAACUCGCCCAUAACGUCCCACUGAACUUCAACACUUGUGUCUUUUCUCCCACACGUCCCACAGCAGACGGCAGAAGUAGCUCCACUUGGAAUAUCUACUUAAAUGCUGGUGUUCAUUCAUAUUGAGAGAAUUCCCCAUAAAAGGCCUUUGAUCUCAUCGUCCCGUUUUUCUCCUUCCUUGUAAACAGAAACGUCGUUGGAGGGUCAGACGCUCGUUAGACAUCCGUCGGGUUUCUCUCGAAAUCCACAUUCUCACAUUCUGAGGUUAUAACAUUCACAGCUGAGAGGCCUUAUGGAUUCGUCCAAUGCUGAAGCGCGCGCACACGCACACACACACACACACACACACACACACAGGGCAGCUCGUGUUUUCUGGUUGACCUUCGCCUCGCUCUUCUGUGCUCUCACCUCGUAAUUUAGCGCUUAUUUUCACAUUGCACGCACACAGGUAGAGAAACACAAACUCUCUGCAAACCACCGAUACAGACAUCCAGGGGGCCGGUCUCACCUCGACGGGUUAUCUCUCUCUUCUAGCCCCCCCCCCCACACACACACAGUGUGCGCUGACCCCGGAGCAGCUCAUUGAAGUCCCAAUAAAACACGGAGGAAUCGUCGGCACGCAACUUGACAUUCUAGUGGUUUGUUUGGAUAACCUCACACACACACACACACACACACACACACACACACGCACACACACACACUCGUUCUGCAGCACACAGUAUUUUACAUUUACGACUCUCCAGAUCCUGAGAGACCCCACUGCCUCGCUCGGCCUUCGGCGCUGCCCUCUGGUCCACCCCGCCACACACACACACAAACACACACACACGCGCACACAUACACACACACACUCUCUUUCCCAGCAAUUAUCUUCAAACUAAACACUGGCUCAGAAGCGGUAACAACAGAGCAGAGCUAUUGUGAGCACCGUACUUUUUUUGUCAGGUUGUUGCUACACUGACAUUUUUUAGGACUUUACGUCCACGGGAGACCAAUGAAUGGAAAGUGCUAAAUAUUCGCCUUCAAAUACACAAUAUCGAUUAAACGCAGGCAUACUUCGUUAUGACUUGACAAACGAUUCACUUACCUUCAGAAAUAUUCCUUUAUAAAACACAACUCUUAAUGGGACUCGGAGGCCUGUUCAGUCUCUGCACAACAAAUGUUAUGUUCUCAUAACUCUGGACGGACAUUUCGCUUUUUUUAAAUCAAAAUCUUGUGUUCGGCUUCUCCUUCGGAGUUUGGAAGUGGUUUGAAGUCGGGUUGUUGAAUAGAAGUCAAUGGCCGUAAAAUGUGCAGUCCUCCUCUUGAUGUAUAAAUCACACCGGUAACGAUAUUCCUAAAUGUUCCUCCUUAAUUGCUGUUUGCACAUGCACACGUGUGUGUUUGUGCUCUACUUUAGACAACUAAAGGCUGCACGCACUAUUUUGUUGGCCUGUGUGUGUGUGUCUGUGUGUGUACUCCUGUUCCCCCUGCUGUGUGUUCCAGGUCUGUACUUAUGAGUCUCUCCCUGAGAACUAAAUCUUCUAUAACUUUCACCUCAACAUGACCUUCGAUUUAAGUGUGUGAGUGUGUAAACGGCGUAAUCAUUACCUCACCCUGACCUGUGUGUGUGUGUGUGUGUGUGUGUGUGCGCGCUUUUUAUGUCACCUAAUCCUGACCUCGACCUCUUGACAACACUCUCUUUCACGAUAUAAAACACUGUAAUGGUGGCGUUUUUCACUUCAAAAGGCGCACACUGAGGUUUCGGGGGAAACACAUCAGUCAUUUUACGCGUUCAGGUUAUGAGAACGCAGACACCAAAAUCAUCCGCGUGCACCUCGUACAUCAUCCCGUGCACUUCAACGUGGACCAGGGCCCCUCUAAAGUCUGUCAUUUGAAGGCACCAGGAGUUUCAGGACCUCAGAUCGUGUAACGCUGAUACUUUUGGGUCAAUAAAUAUGUCGCAUAGAUUUGUAUCUGUCUUAUAGAUUUAAGGGGAGCAAAUUCAGCAGUGGUUCUGCCACAAGCGCCAAUUAAGGGGGUUGUGGUCGAUGUCAGAAGCCUGUGUAACGUCAGCACACGAGUCCAAAGGUGGGAUUCUUAUUUAGGAUCAGCUUCCACUAAAUGGCACCAUGAGAUGAGAAGGUCAGGUGAGUGGGUCGCAGGGGGGUGAGGGAGUGACCCACCCACUCGCGUUGGGGGAAUGAGUGGGUAACCGGGCGGCUAGAUGGGUGGGUAUGAGUGCAGUUGGGUAGUUGGGUAUGUGCGCGGUUGGGUAAGUGGGUGGGAUGUGAGUAGAAGAAGGUACAUAUUAUUUUAUUUCUAGGUCACUAUUUCCUAAUGUUUAACUGCUGUAUUUAGACAGAAAAUGUAACAAAGUAUAACCAGAAGUGAGACCCAACAACAGUUUCCACACAAAGGCAGUUCUUUAAAUAUGUAUUUUUGUGUUAUGAUGAAACACACUCUUCUUUUUGGAGGCCAACUCCUUUCAGCUCCGCAUAACGUGGCGAAUCCUCAUUUGUGGUUUCAUGCAGACAACGCGGCUGCCAUCGCAGAAUAAAGCCUUGACAUGAUAACGCUUCCAGCUAAAACACAGCGAAACCACGGACAUCUGUGAGGAGAGUCGCCCGUCAGUCCCUGAGAACACGUGCAGCGGCGCGCACAAAGGAGAGGACUUCACCUUCGGCCUCCCACCGCGUGAGGAAACGUCCCGCUCGCCCUCGACCGGCGCCGUGGUUAGUGUUACUGUCUCCUCUGCCGGAGUUCAGCGGCGGACGGUCCGACCGCAGACGAUUCGCAGACGCGUUCACCGCCACCUUCCCCCCCGACUGUCCUCGCCUCCUUGUUCCGCUGCUGGAAAGCACGAGGUGCCCGUUUAAGCCCCCCAAAAUCCUCUCGGCCCGGCGGGUCUUUUGCUUCUGGAAUGCGCAGCACUGAGAAUGUAUUUGAAGCGGGACGAAUUUCCCUCGAGCGGUGAAAAAGAUGUGUUUGAAGGUCGGGUUGGAGGUCGGGUUGGAGGACGGGUUGGAGGUCCGGUUGGAGGACGGGUUGGAGGAAGGUUACGAGGACGGGUUGGAGGUCGGGUACGAGGACGGGUUGGAGGUCGUGUUGGAGGUCGUGUUGGAGGUCGGGUUGGAGGUCGGGUUGGAGGACGGGUUGGAGGACGGGUUGGAGGACGGGUUGGAGGACGCGUGGAGUCGGUUCGGGCGUCGCUCGUCGAGGCCUCGCUGCCAGAUCUUACGGCAGGAUUAUGACGUCUCGUAAAUACUUCGACACAAAGCGGCCACGCAAUGAAAUACGCGGGCCGCCGUGUGCGAUCCAGCACGCCGUCCUCCCUGAAGGUCCAUUUCAUAUUCAUAAAUAAUGACGAAAAGUCCGACGCAAGAGAAAAUAACGUUGUCCUCGUACAGGGCCUUUAUUUCAAUAAUCCACACAUUCCGACAGGCUUCCCCUCCCGAACCACCUCUGUAAGCGUUUUAUCAUCACCACCACAUCUGGGGUGGGCAUUCGUCAAGGACAGAAACAUUGCGUCUUUACCUAAACAAGUACAACAAUUUAUAGCUUUCUAACUUUUAAAAUAGCACGCCGUGAAAGUUUUUACUGCUACUGACGUUGUAGUGAGGUUUGGACACACUCUGAUCUCAUCAAACAUGACUUCAGGGACGUUAAAUCAGCCCGUUUUAUCUCCGAGAGGAAGCCUUGACGUUUUUUACAAUGGGGAUUUACAGCUAACAAUAACUUCCUGCUGGGGACUCAAAGACUACAAAUAGAUGCAACAUUCAUAAAACGUUAUUUCUAUUGACAUUCUCAGGCAAUUAGAAGGGAUUGUAAUGAGCAACAUUUACAUGUGUGGAGGAAAAAGGCCUUUAAUGUUUAAUGGGUUUCAUCUUGAGCACAUAUAGUAUAUCAUGUGUUCAUACGUUUGGAUAAUUAACUGAUACCUAAUACAUGUUGAUGCAUAUUGCAAUGACUUUAUUUAAGAUGCUUUGUACUUUAUUUGGGAUAUUUUACUAAAUUUCUUUGGAUAUUUUAGUGAAUUUGCACAGAAUGUCACCAAAUAGCUUUUUACUGUCUUUUACUGUUUUCUUUUAGUGUAGGGUCUUACUAACAAUUUCCAGAUAUUUUUUGGGGGGCUACAUUUUCAGAGUGAUUGAAUUAGUUCCAACGAUGUCGUAAAAGUGAAUCCCGUAUAAACGUCAACCCCGCGCCGCCGUAACUGAUGUAGUGCCCCUGUGUUUAAAGACGGAGGCUCAGCCAAUCGGCUGCCUGCUUCAGAAUCACGGCCAACGUGGCGUCCAGCUGAAAUUAAAAAGAGCCGAGCCGCGGCCGCUCGCUCACUUCAACGGUUGUUGUUCCUCAAGCGGCAAAAAACAACAAACAAAAAAAAAGCAUCAUUCAUGGUUUUCAGAGGCAUCUCCGGCAAAUCCGGCCCACCUGUGUUUCCUUGACACGAGAGCUGUGUGUGUGUUUGUGUGUAAAUGCGUGUGUGUGUGCGUGAUUGGUUAUUAUGUUAUUUUGUCAACAGAACAGUUUUUAACAAGCACGUGGGCAUGAGCACCAAAUAGGUGAAUACAAAAAACAAAAAAAAGGAAUUACACUAUAAACACCAGCAGGAACGAGUGGGUCAGGGUUUAUGUGUGUGUGUGUGUGUUCCUGUGCGUGUUUGUGUGUGCUCUAUAAAGCGAUAGCGGAAUGUGCUCUCACUCUUUAAUGAGGUUCAUCAAAAACAGUCAGGCGUCAAGAAAUGAGCCUCUUCACACGCAACGAGGGACGGGGGGGACGGGGGGGAGGGCUCUAUCUCACACAUGGGAAGUAACGAACGGUCAAUAAACAGACCGCCGCGUUGGUCAGUUUAAAAACCUCAUUACACCAGCAAGGAAGAUCAGGUUUUUGGGGCCUUUUCUUGGCUCCAAAAGCAGACAUGCAGCACGAAUACAGGCGUCAAAUAGAAGGUGUGUGCAGCAUCCUCACGUCGGAUAGAGUCACGUGACCCGGUGGUGGGAAAGAGUAAUGCAGCCUCAAAGAAAAGACGCUUUGAAAAUGUGCAUUUCCAACGCGUUGGCACCGCCCGCGGAGGCCCCCGGUGAUACAAAACCAAGCGGGUGCGAAUGUUUUUGCCCAGAACGAAACCGGGAGGAACGCGCAGGGAGCCAGUGGAGGGAGAAAGUGACAAUAUGAGAGAUUUAAGGCGAGUUGGGACAAGAAAAAGAGGCUGAUUUACUGGAACAAAAAGAAGCGAUCAAGGAGAAAGAAGACGCAGUGAAGAUUUGUGAUUGAGCUUUUCUCUCCAAAUCUGAAAAAGUUCUCCGUCUUGGUUCCCCAUGAUGACGCUAAAUCUCAAAGCCCACAUUGUACCGCCUGCAUGCGGUUGUGUGUGUGUGUGUGUGUGUGUGUAUAUAAAUCAACAGCAUGUUUUCUUUCACUCUGCUCCAGUGGAAUAUUUUUUUAAUGAGUUGUUUUAUUCCCGACUCCCGACCGUCACAUGAACGCUGACGCACCGUCGGAGACAAGCGUAUGAAACGGGGGGACGGAGGACUUAUAGAGGCCGAGGGACACACACACACACACACACACACACAGAUCAACUCCUGCUUUGAUCGGCCGUAUACUUGUGUUUUAUUUUAUAAAAGUUCUCUUCUCUGUUGCACGGAUCCAAAAUGCAACAAACACACACACACACACACACAAAAUGUGCUGGCAGGGGAAAAAUGUUUGAUGUCGAAAUACAGUUUGUAAUCUGCACCAAACAUUCUCGGAAAGGACGUUUUGUACAUGUGUCUGAACAUAUACACGAGAAGAGAAAAACAACCGAAGGCGCGCCAAAACAUCCAGGUCUUCACAACAGCUUCAGAGAUACUUCACAGGUUGUGACCUCAUUCGCCUUCCUAUCAGCCCUCUUAUCUAUGUGUGUGUGUGUGUGGUGUCGUGUCAGAUAGGAUGUCUGAUCUUUUAUCGCUCUGGCUGCAGAAUCACCUGCCAGAUGAACCGGCGGGUUCAGCCUGCGAGAGCUUCGGGGCCUCGACAUCCCCGGGACGGCCGGAGGCCGCGGCGAGACAACACGAGGAUGCAGAUUAAACGUCAGCGCGAACCGCUUACGAAAAACAGUCCGGAGCGUUUGUGCGGUCCUGCUCCUGAAAUAUUUUGCCGUUAUUUCUUCUCUCAGUUUGGCGCAUUGAGGCAACGAAACUCUCUUGAACGCCGGCGGCGCUGAAUGUCAAACGUCACAGGAGAGAUUGUCUCGUUUUGUAAAGCAGAAAUGAAGAAUUCUGGGGAAUUUUAUCUCGCAAUAAUCUCUGGAAAACAAAUUUCAUUUCAAACUACAAAACUACAACAACAAUCAGACACUUCUCUGCCCCAAAGUAGCUAAAUAAAUUCACCUUUUCACCAUUUGAAUGAAUACUGGAGCCAGUGGGAAACCACAACUUCCCAGAGUCAGCCAACGAGGUCCAACAUUAAAACCUGUGAGCUUUUAGAGGGCUGCUCGGCCUAUUCUGUACAGUCGUUUUCUUCAUUUUCCCCUCUGAAUGCUAAGCUACGCUAAUGGUCUUGUGGCCCUCGCUUCGUACAGACUCGAGAGUGGCAUCAAUCUUCUCAUUAGCUCUUGGCAUGAAAGCGGACAACGUGCGUUUCCCAUGUUGAACAAUGGCUUUGACAAAAUAAAUAAAGGGUCACAUUCCGCGGAUCAAACGAUGCCUCGCUGCAGCGACGAGCUGAUUGGAUUUGCCACGAGGUCUUUUUCAGGUUGUCAAGGCACCGCAAGCAUCUUUGAGUUUGGCACCCGGGUGGAUUUACCAGAAGUUACACAGUCAUCAUGUCUGCAGAUCCACCGAGGAAACCAAACGCCUGUCGGGACCUCACCACUUCUUUGUGUCCCUCCCUGAUUCAAUCAGCUUUGUUGGAUGCAGAUUUCUCGGACUGAUACAAGUGGGCGCAAUAUUUACUUUUCUUACACAGUAAACAUCUUUCUAUUUAGUCUACCAGGUCGCUGAUGUGUUUGAGCCAAACUUUGUUAGUGUGAGGUUGGUCCUGGCUGGAGGUUUAUUUUAGGGCAACAUUUGUGUGUUUUUUCGGAUGUGGAUCAGAUCACUUUGAGGCUCUUUGACGGUAACUUUGUGUUUUGACUCGCGUCUGUGUUCACGGUCUGGUAAUUUUGUGUUUUGUAUGUUCUGCCCACAGACUGUAUAUAAGGAGGGGACAUCGGUUGGUCUUUGACGCAUCUAGUUUGACAUUGGGGUUUAGUCUUGUUUGAGCCAGAAGUUACCAUAUUUGGACAAGGUUGAGUCCAACGAGGCCCGGGAGGGCCAGAUCCUGUUAGCAGCUAAUGCUAUCGCUAGCUGGGUUAUCAAAAAGUAUCUGUAAAUUCACAUUAGCUAAACUUAGCAAUUCAAAUCUAAGUUAAGAAAAAACAGGCUUGUUUGAAGUGUGGUGUUAGAGAGUUAGAGAGCUGUCAAUCACAGUGCUUCAUGGUCUAUUAUACCCUAAUAAUUUACUAAGUGAACAUCAUGCUGCCUUGAAGACUUGGAACUAGAGAUUGAGACCAUAACCUCAUAUUUACAAUGCUUACCCAGGGAAUAAAUCAAGAGAAAAGUAGAGUCAUUUUCCCAUAGACUUCUAUGGUAAGAGAGGAGUCGCCCCUGGUGGUCACUUGAGAGAAUGCAGCUUUGAGACCCUUCAGCCCUGGCUUCACUCUUCAGACCCAGACAUGAAGCGUACGACUGAUCAGCCUCACUGUGACCUUUUGUCUUUGCUUGUUCAGACGACACAGACUCCCCCAGGAGAACAGUGGUGACUCCAAACUGUCCAGUGGGUUUUGUUCCUCUUAUUCUAUUCUUUCGCCUCCACAUUAAUCCCAUAAAUAUAUCCCAUCUCUUCAUAACUGCACAUAAAUCACUCUCCAUUUCUCCACUCUAUCGUUCUUACACAGCACCCUCCACGUGAACUCUCCGCUGGCAGGGGAUCCACUCAGGUGCCUCUCCAUGUGUGUGUGUGUGUGUGUGCGCAAAAGAAGCAUGUGUCUCGAGUGUGUUUAUGUGCUACAAUAGAGUCCUGUUUGUUUGCAGGGGGAAUCUGUGUGUGUGUGUGUGUGUGUAUGUGAGAGAGAGUCAGGUGUCGAGUUUACCCCCAGAUCGACCCAACCUGGGAAUGAUCUAGUCUCAGAGGGGGAAGCCAAAACUUCUCCACCAUGUAUGUGUGUGUGUGUGUGUGCGUCUAACCCAGAGAUGACUCACAAACCAUCUGGAGGCCAGAUGCAGGUUAGAAAACUACUCUCUCUCUACUCUGUCCCCUCCCUCCCUCCAGUUGCCAUUAGUUCCCUUAGUUAACCUGUGAACUUUGACCUGUGUGCUGUGCAUGUGUGUGAGUUCAUCCUGUGUGUGUCUGUGUGUGUCUUGUCCUGGUGUCCUGGUUAAGUCAACGACGGGGUUGUGACCUUUCUCAGCGGUUGCAAACUCUCCCUCGGUGACCCCCGGAGUUCAAGUUCACUAAUUGUCCCUCAUCCCAGUUAAACAGCCUCCAUCUUUCUCCCCCUUUGGCGGCUCCGCCUCCCUGUCACCUGGUACGUAGAUUAAGUCUGGGAAACAAGACAUUACUAAAAGGUCUUACAGGCCGGUCUCUGAGUUGUUUUCUAUUUAGUUCCAAUUGGCGUUUGUUAAAAAUGAGAUGUUUAAUUUGCCAGAAGAAAGACUCAGGACGUCCAAAAACAAGGAUUCAGAUAUCCGAAAUGAAUGCCAGGGAGUCCUCCCAGUACCUCCGGUUCACAUCUUACACGGCAUUAUGGGAGCAGCGGUUCCCCUGCGGAUGUACUCUGGGUAGUUAAAUCGAAAAGAAUGUGUCCCAUCGGUCCCCGGAGAGCAGAUGAUGACUCCGCAGACCUCAUGAGGACAACGUCUUACGCUUAACCGCAUAAGAACAAAGACGAUCCACCACAGCCCAUUCUUCUGGAGAUAAAACGGGCGUUUAUGUGCUGUCAUACGUUUCAAUACCGUCAAGACUUGAAAGUAAAUCAUCAAAAUAAUUGUGUGUGUGUUCGACUGACACCAGUAAACCAGUAAGAUGUAUCAUCAAUGUAACAAGACAACAGGAAUUCUGUCUAAUGCUCAGCCAAAUGUUCUAAAUUCGUCCCCUGAGAGGUCGAGUCUGUGCGCGGGCGGGACAACAUUGUUUUGAACACCAUCUUCGAAGUGUGAGCAUGUGGUGGACGCGUGAGGUUUGACAGGAGAUGACUGUAUCUCAGGUCCUGAUUGGACCUAAAGCUUUGGUUUUGGUAGGAGGGUGUUGAGGGGUUGCUGAAGGUCCGUUUUUAUAAGCUGUCGAGGCUCAAUCUGUGCAGGUGUGAGAAUGAAAGAAAGAGGCCAAACAAGGACUAGAUGGCAAACCGCCCUUCACUCCCACAGCAUUCCCAAAUUGGCCUCUAUAAACCCUUUGUUUUGGACACUUCCCUUCCUCAGCGCUCCACUGGAUGCUUUUAUUCUGAAGGGCCAUCAGAGGGGAAGCUAAACAGCUGGAUUGUGGAGUAGAAACAACCCCCCAAAAAGGGCCACAAACUACAUUCAGAUUCCAGCUGAGAUGAUCCCAGUUAGCUGCUGGUGGGAGGAGCUUUGCCUCUCCGCCACUGACCACGAGCCUAUCGGGUGGGAAACGAGACACAGGUUGGAUACCAGCUGAGAGAUCAGCAUAUCCAGAUGUUUUGGUAGAACAACAACCCCCAACAAUUAUUUUCCCUAGUUAUCUGAUGAACAUCUUUACUUUUACAACAUACAUUUGUCUCCUCAAAGUUUAGUGUUAUACUAAAUCACAUUAUCUGUUGUUCAAAUGUGAUUUCAUUAUAGUUUAUUAUACCACUGAAGAAUUUUAAUUUAAACCUGCUGACACACUAAAGAGGUUGUUGUAUUCCACUUGAAGUCUAGUUUUGAGGCUUUAAGCUGCAACUCAAACAGCAAAACAGUCUUUGAGAUAGAGUCCAAAUGUUUAAAGUCUAAAUCAAGUCUCUAGUCUUUGAUAAAGAGUCCAACUCAAAUGUCAAGCGUAAAGAGACAUCCCAUCAUAUGGAGGAGUGAAGGGAUUUCUUUACAAUAUCAAUAUCCAGGUUAAAUAUCCAUGGUCCUAACUGAGCAGCUGUCUUGUCAGAGGCCUCACUGGAGAACUGAUUUGGACAACAAGAGCGAAAUGUUGCAGGCGGACGUCGGCGCAAUCACAAAAAACUGCAGCACAACGUGGCCAAGAUGUCAAGAUGUCCGCCUCCAGCCACGAUGGUCCCGACCAAUCGUACGACUGUUCCUCAAUGCCGGGAUCCUCUCUCUCUCUCUCUCGCUCUCUCUCUCUCUCUGACAUUUCCAUGAACCAACUCUUGAUGUUCCUCAGAAGAACAGAGGAGAGGACGAGAGGACGGUUGAAAGACAGGGUUUGGGAAAAAGAAACAAUAGAAAUGUGCCGGGCAGAUGUCCCCCCCCCCACCCCCCUUCCCUUCUUUCCCAAUACUCCUGUUGAAACUGGGGUAAUAUCUCCGGUGUGUGCUGACACGUUUUGGGCAGUGACCAUUCAGGGGGAUUUUAACAGACAGAAACCCGAGUGGGCGCCCGCUACCGUGGGGGGGUGGAAAGACGACAGCAUGGAGUCCCGCCGGGAGAAGGACGUGUGACAGGAACCACCUUGUGAACUCAGCCUAAUUUGGGCAUUUUGUAGAACAUUUACUGCACACACGCAACAAAGAAAGGCCUCAGGAUGGAAAGGAGUUGUGUCAGAGCGUCCUGUAGGAACAAAGGAGAGUCGGGAAACAGACUGUAACUAUACGGCCGCCUGAAUGAAACACAUUCACUGAUGAUGUGUCCGAGUCAAGUUGGUGGUUUUUCCUCAGACCAAAAGUCAAAAGCUGCACGGAUCAAAUUCACAGUUAUCUAACAAAAGGGAACUUAACUGUAUUUACAGUGCGACAGUAAUGCAGCUGAAAUAACACCGGCUGGUGUCCAUCUUUUCCUUUGUGCUCUUCAGAUAGGAUUCUCCUCAUCAUGAAGGUCACACUUUGCACAACGCAGGCCUCACGCUCUUUGGCAGAAGCUCCCUGACCACCACGAAGGGGGAAAUACCAUUUCUGCUCAAAUGAAACACGAGUCCGGGCCAAGCGGCCGUCUUACUCUUUAAAAUCUCACUCCGGCUCGGUGGGGCCGAGCAGCGGAGCGACAUGAGAUUCUCAGAGAAUCGGUUCCGUUUCCCUGCGUUGGCUUCGGCUAACGAUGUUACCAAAGAAAACGUUUUGGACUUCCUGUACGGGAUCUAAUUUGGAAUAGAAAUGUAUUUUUUGUGUAUAUUCACCUGAUUUAAGGGCCUCUUUACGCAAUGCCAAGCCAGAACUCUCCUGGAUCUAGCUCCCUGUACUUCCCUAAAGUUCGCCAGCAUUUUCAGGACUUUGAACCACUUGCUCCUCAUUGUAUUACUCCAGUGUGUGAAUGAAGGACUCCGUCAUUUGUGAUAGACGCUCAGAAACAACAUAUUGAGAAAGAAAAGUUGAGCCAAACCUUUUGAUUUCCUGUUGUUGGGUACUUUCACGCUGAAAAUAUAUCAAAACGGUCUCAAAGCAGAAGCAAACGAACAUGUAGUUUCCUCCCGCUGCAUUGUGCGUCAACGUCCUACUACACUCUACGCUGUCAGAUCUGAUCCUUAAGGGACCAAAACUCCUGCCUCCCCAUUAGAAGGCGGUUUCCGCGCAAACACUGGUCCCUAAAACUUACCCGCUCUGGUUUCUGGGAUGUGCCAACGAAAUGAAAUUCUCCCUGAAACCCAAACAUUCAGUCCGCCGACUACAAAUGUGUCAAGGACGUGUUUGUUUGCAGAAAAUGUGUAAUUACACAGUUUCACAGUCCGUUUACUGUGGGACUCGAACACCUCUUCCGCCACCGAGCUCAAGAACUUUACUUCGCUCACUUUUACUUUCACGUAGGUGUUUAGAGAGGGAGCGAAUUAGAGGGAAUUAUGAAGAGGAGAAAGAAAUGGAAGACAGACAUGCAUUAGCACAUUGUUACUGCAGUGGCCAGUCAGUCUGGGAACCCGUAAUAACCCUUCAACACUAAUGACAAAACCACACACAUGCACGCGCGCACACAGUCUCGAGGUCUCUCCUCCGCCUAUGUAUCUCGUCUCUCUGUAGUCACUUCUACGUCCUCCCUCCUUCUCUAUGGCGCACACACACACACACACACACACACAAAUACAUGAGCGGUGUUGCUGUGUUGAUGGUAAUACCAGGGUUAUUGGGAGGGGAGAGAGUAAUUCCCUCUGACAGCCCCAUUAAGGGAUGAAAUACCACCACUACUAAAAAACGACUUGGGUUUCACUUGUGACGCCGCACCAGCCUACAUUCGAUUUUUCUGGGUUAUUUUGAGGGCAAUCUGGAGCGGCAAAAUGGCAUGAAAAACUAAAAUAAAAAUGAAUACGUCGGUGUUUGUCGCGUUCGGGACGCCCAAGUGUUCGCCCGCCAAUUCCUUUUGCCCGCGUAUUUCUCCGUCAGCAGGAAAUCUAUAUGGCACUGGUUGUUUUCACUCUGGCUCAAGAGUUGCUUAUAAAUCACGGAUGAAGAGUGGACCACCGGCUCCGACUCAAAAACACGGUGGACCGGAGAGUAAAUCAGGGUCAGGUGGGCUUCAAUAAGCAGCCUUAACAAUCGCCAUCCAUCAACCGGAUUUCUUUAUGAAAAUAAAAAGAGAAAUCUGAGAUGUUCCAGCUUAUAGGCUCGUCACUUUUGUUUUACACCACAAAUUAACCCAAAGUGUCUUUAUACAGGCCAGAUUUUUAAUAGUACAUGAUUGGACCUCGACCAUGUUGCUGACAUCUGUGUUAACAGAAUUUACCACUGUGGAUGUGGUGUGUGUAAACACUGCUAACCCACCAAUGACUCCAAACCAACAUAAGCAUUACCUAAAGGGAGAACAUUAGUUGGGUAUUUACAAGCAGAGGCAGAGGAACAUUGGCAUUUGCUUGAAGCUGUGUUCAAAGCUACUUGAUGAAUUUUAGUGGAACGCUCACUUUCCUUUUAGCUCUGGUUCGGUCUCCUCCAACGGAAAA
ensembl:lncRNA